GUCAGGAUAGCUCAGUUGGUAGAGUACAUGACUGAAAAUACUUGUGUCACCAGUUCAAAUCUGGUUCCUGGCA
rnacentral:tRNA from 1 species